UACAGAGGUCUCAAGCGUUGUUCGGAUUCAUUGGGCGUAAAGGGUGUGUAGGUGGCGCCGUAAGUCGGGUGUGAAAUUUCGGAGCUUAACUCCGAAACUGCAUUCGAUACUGCGGUGCUUUGAGGACUGGAGAGGAGACUGGAAUUCAUGGUGUAGCAGUGAAAUGCGUAGAGAUCAUGAGGAAGACCAGUGGCGAAGGCGGGUCUCUGGGCCGGAACUGACGCUGAGGAGCGAAAGCGUGGGUAGCAAACAGG
rnacentral:rRNA from 1 species